rnacentral:rRNA from 1 species
ACACUCUAUACGGAGUUACAAAAGAAAGUUAUAAAUGAAGCGGUCUGGAAAGGCCCGCCAAAGACGGUAACAGCCCGGUAGUUGAAAUGGCUUUCCCUCCAGAGUGGAUCCUGAGUACGGCGGAACACGUGAAAUUCCGUCGGAAUCCGGGAGGACCAUCUCCCAAGGCUAAAUACUCCCUAGUGACCGAUAGUGAACCAGUACCGUGAGGGAAAGGUGAAAAGCACCCCGGAAGGGGAGUGAAACAGUUCCUGAAACCGUGUGCCUACAAGUAGUUAGAGCCCGUUAAUGGGUGAUAGCGUGCCUUUUGUAGAAUGAACCGGCGAGUUACGAUUUGUUGCAAGGUUAAGCGGAAAAAGCGGAGCCGUAGCGAAAGCGAGUCUGAAUAGGGCGCAUAAGUAACAGGUCGUAGACCCGAAACCAGGUGAUCUACCCAUGUCCAGGAUGAAGGUAAGGUAAUACUUACUGGAGGUCCGAACCCACGCACGUUGAAAAGUGCGGGGAUGAGGUGUGGGUAGCGGAGAAAUUCCAAUCGAACUUGGAGAUAGCUGGUUCUCUCCGAAAUAGCUUUAGGGCUAGCCUCGAGGUAAAGAGUCAUGGAGGUAGAGCACUGUUUGGACUAGGGGCCCUUCUCGGGUUACCGAAUUCAGAUAAACUCCGAAUGCCAUGUACUUAUACUCGGGAGUCAGACUGCGAGUGAUAAGAUCCGUAGUCGAAAGGGAAACAGCCCAGACCACCAGUUAAGGUCCCCAAAUAUAUGUUAAGUGGAAAAGGAUGUGGGGUUGCUUAGACAACCAGGAUGUUGGCUUAGAAGCAGCCACCAUUGAAAGAGUGCGUAAUAGCUCACUGGUCGAGUGACCCCGCGCCGAAAAUGUACCGGGGCUAAACAUAUUACCGAAACUGUGGAUGAACCUCUUUAGAGGUUCGUGGUAGGAGAGCGUUCUAAGGGCGGUGAAGUCAGACCGGAAGGACUGGUGGAGCGCUUAGAAGUGAGAAUGCCGGUAUGAGUAGCGAAAGAAGGGUGAGAAUCCCUUCCACCGAAUAUCUAAGGUUUCCUGAGGAAGGCUCGUCCGCUCAGGGUUAGUCGGGACCUAAGCCGAGGCCGAUAGGCGUAGGCGAUGGACAACAGGUAGAGAUUCCUGUACCAGUGCUAAUUGUUUAACCGAUGGGGUGACACAGAAGGAUAGGGAAUCGCACGAAUGGAAAUGUGCGUCCAAGCAGUGAGUGUGAGAAGUAGGCAAAUCCGCUUCUCGCGAAGCAUGAGCUGUGAUGGGGAAGGAAAUUAAGUACGGAAGUUCCUGAUUUCACGCUGUCAAGAAAAGCCUCUAGGAAGAGUAGUACUGCCCGUACCGCAAACCGACACAGGUAGAUGAGGAGAGAAUCCUAAGGUGAGCGAGAGAACUCUCGUUAAGGAACUCGGCAAAAUGACCCCGUAACUUCGGGAGAAGGGGUGCUCUAUUAGGGUGCAAGCCCGAGAGAGCCGCAGUGAAUAGGCCCAGGCGACUGUUUAGCAAAAACACAGGUCUCUGCAAAACCGUAAGGUGACGUAUAGGGGCUGACGCCUGCCCGGUGCUGGAAGGUUAAGAGGAGUGCUUAGCUUCGGCGAAGGUACGAAUUGAAGCCCCAGUAAACGGCGGCCGUAACUAUAACGGUCCUAAGGUAGCGAAAUUCCUUGUCGGGUAAGUUCCGACCCGCACGAAAGGCGCAACGAUCUGGGCACUGUCUCAACGAGAGACUCGGUGAAAUUAUAGUACCUGUGAAGAUGCAGGUUACCCGCGACAGGACGGAAAGACCCCGUGGAGCUUUACUGCAACCUGAUAUGGAAUGUUUGUACCGCUUGUACAGGAUAGGUAGGAGCCGAAGAGACGUGUGCGCUAGCAUACGAGGAGGCAAUGGUGGGAUACUACCCUGGCUGUAUGACCAUUCUAACCCGCCACGCUUAGCGCGUGGGGAGACAGUGUCAGGUGGGCAGUUUGACUGGGGCGGUCGCCUCCUAAAGAGUAACGGAGGCGCCCAAAGGUUCCCUCAGAAUGGAUGGAAAUCAUUCGCAGAGUGUAAAGGCACAAGGGAGCUUGACUGCGAGACUGACAAGUCGAGCAGGGACGAAAGUCGGGCUUAGUGAUCCGGUGGUUCCGCAUGGAAGGGCCAUCGCUCAACGGAUAAAAGCUACCCCGGGGAUAACAGGCUUAUCUCCCCCAAGAGUCCACAUCGACGGGGAGGUUUGGCACCUCGAUGUCGGCUCGUCGCAUCCUGGGGCUGUAGUCGGUCCCA